CGGCUAACUACGUGCCAGCAGCCGCGGUAAUACGUAGGGCGCAAGCGUUAUCCGGAAUUAUUGGGCGUAAAGAGCUCGUAGGCGGUUUGUCGCGUCUGCUGUGAAAUCCCGAGGCUCAACCUCGGACCUGCAGUGGGUACGGGCAGACUAGAGUGCGGUAGGGGAGAUUGGAAUUCCUGGUGUAGCGGUGGAAUGCGCAGAUAUCAGGAGGAACACCGAUGGCGAAGGCAGAUCUCUGGGCCGUAACUGACGCUGAGGAGCGAAAGGGUGGGGAGCAAACAGGCUUAGAUACCCUGGUAGUCCACCCCGUAAACGUUGGGAACUAGUUGUGGGGUCCUUUCCACGGAUUCCGUGACGCAGCUAACGCAUUAAGUUCCCCGCCUGGGGAGUACGGCCGCAAGGCUAAAACUCAAAGGAAUUGACGGGGACCCGCACAAGCGGCGGAGCAUGCGGAUUAAUUCGAUGCAACGCGAAGAACCUUACCAAGGCUUGACAUAUACGAGAACGGGCCAGAAAUGGUCAACUCUUUGGACACUCGUAAACAGGUGGUGCAUGGUUGUCGUCAGCUCGUGUCGUGAGAUGUUGGGUUAAGUCCCGCAACGAGCGCAACCCUCGUUCUAUGUUGCCAGCACGUUAUGGUGGGAACUCAUGGAAUACUGCCGGGGUCAACUCGGAGGAAGGUGGGGAUGACGUCAAAUCAUCAUGCCCCUUAUGUCUUGGGCUUCACGCAUGCUACAAUGGCCGGUACAAAGGGCUGCGAUACCGUAAGGUGGAGCGAAUCCCAAAAAGCCGGUCCCAGUUCGGAUUGAGGUCUGCAACUCGACCUCAUGAAGU
rnacentral:rRNA from 1 species